GGCCAUCCACUCGAGGCUCCGCACCGCGGCCGCGCCCUCCGCCUCCUCUCGUCCUCUUCUCCCCUGUCAGCGACCUGCUUCCACUCGUUAGCAUCGCUCAGCCGUCGUGCUCCUCCCGCUGCAGGCAGUCCCAGCACAGCAGCUGGCCGCCCACUUCCCCGUCCUCGUCCGGCGGUCCUGGAAAUCAAGGCCUAGGAACGAGGCAGCAGUUCCCCGCUGGGCAGGGGCACAGCGGUCUGGAUGGAAGGGGGUGGAGGAGGAUGCGGGUUCGGAGAAGUCGCUGACGAGGGGGAGGAGGAGGAGGAGGUGGUGGCGGGAGAGAGAGCGCCGGCCGGCGGCCGCCGGGUGAGAAUAGAAAGAGAGGGCUGAGGGCGCCGGGAGUCUUUUUUUCGCCCGUGAGAGGGGGAACCGUGGAACGAGAUGAUUCCUUCUUUUCGGGGGAACCGGUGCGUUACGCAUAUCACAGUGGAUUUUUAGGUACCUCCUUGGCACAUCCAAUGCUUGCUUGAAGUUUGGCAAGACUGAUGAGGGACUCGCAGGCUAUGUGGAUUCAGAUUUUGCUGCCGACUUGGAUAAGAGAAGAUCCCUCACAGGUUAUGUGUUCACGGUAGGUGGAUGUGCUGUCAGUUGAAAGGCAAUACUGCAACCAGUUGUUGCUCAAUCUAUAACCGAAGCAGAAUAUAUGGCUAUUGCUGAAGUUUGCAAAGAAUCUGUUUGGUUGAAGAGUUUAUAUGUUCAGCUAUGUCAGGAUGUUUCUUGCAUUAACAUGUUUUGUGACAAUCAAAGUGAUAUAUACCUUACUAAAAAUCAGAUGCUCCACGAGAGAACAAAGCACAUUGAUAUCAAGUACCAUUAUGUUCGCGAUGUUGUUACACAAGGUAAAUUGAAGGUAUGCAAGAUUAGCACUCAUGAUAAUCUUGCUUGUAUGAUGACAAAGCCUGUUCCUAUUGCUAAGUUUGAGCUAUGCUCAAACUUUGUUGGUAUAAUUGUUUAGCCCCUACUGGCUGUUAGCACUGAAAGUGUUUUCUUUGUUGAUUCAUGAGUACUUGUUGUUCAUGCUGCAAGGAGAAAUUUGUCUCAAGGUGGAGUUUGUUGAAGUUGUGAUCCAAAUUCUCCAGGCACCGGAACUUCCGCCCCAACAUCCGGCCGUACCUCCGGGUGCUCUUUGUUACUCUUCGAGAAAUUAGCGGAACUUCCAGCCUUGAGCUCGGAACUUUCGGGGUCCCCAAUACGGAUCUGUUUUGACCUAAUGAUCAUGUUAUAUAUACCCCUUGUAGCCUCUGUUUUGGAGACGAGUUGCAUCUGUAGAAUCUCCCUAGUGUUGUAAACACUCCCUAUAUAGCGAAGUUUCGCUGGCUGGCGCCCGUUGUUUUUU